UAGAUCGUACUUCUAGGGAUCAGUCCUAUAGUACAUAUCACCAGAAAGUCAAACAAAAUUGACCCUGGCUAACCAACCGCAAUAAUUAAAAAUUGU
rnacentral:snoRNA from 1 species